rnacentral:rRNA from 1 species
UACGAAGGGGGGCUAGCGUUGCUCGGAAUUACUGGGCGUAAAGCGCACGUAGGCGGCUUCUUAGGUCGGUGGUGAAAUCCUGGAGCUCAACUCCAGAACUGCCUUCGAUACUGGGAGCUCGAGUCCGGGAGAGGUGAGUGGAACUGCGAGUGUAGAGGUGAAAUUCGUAGAUAUUCGCAAGAACACCAGUGGCGAAGGCGGCUCACUGGCCCGGUACUGACGCUGAGGUGCGAAAGCGUGGGGAGCAAACAGG